rnacentral:rRNA from 1 species
GGGUUGUGAGGUUAAGCGACUAAGCGUACACGGUGGAUGCCCUGGCAGUCAGAGGCGAUGAAGGACGUGCUAAUCUGCGAUAAGCGUCGGUAAGGUGAUAUGAACCGUUAUAACCGGCGAUUUCCGAAUGGGGAAACCCAGUGUGUUUCGACACACUAUCAUUAACUGAAUCCAUAGGUUAAUGAGGCGAACCGGGGGAACUGAAACAUCUAAGUACCCCGAGGAAAAGAAAUCAACCGAGAUUCCCCCAGUAGCGGCGAGCGAACGGGGAGCAGCCCAGAGCCUGAAUCAGUGUGUGUGUUAGUGGAAGCGUCUGGAAAGGCGCGCGAUACAGGGUGACAGCCCCGUACACAAAAAUGCACAUAUUGUGAGCUCGAUGAGUAGGGCGGGACACGUGGUAUCCUGUCUGAAUAUGGGGGGACCAUCCUCCAAGGCUAAAUACUCCUGACUGACCGAUAGUGAACCAGUACCGUGAGGGAAAGGCGAAAAGAACCCCGGCGAGGGGAGUGAAAAAGAACCUGAAACCGUGUACGUACAAGCAGUGGGAGCCUCUUUUAUGGGGUGACUGCGUACCUUUUGUAUAAUGGGUCAGCGACUUAUAUUCUGUAGCAAGGUUAACCGAAUAGGGGAGCCGAAGGGAAACCGAGUCUUAACUGGGCGUUAAGUUGCAGGGUAUAGACCCGAAACCCGGUGAUCUAGCCAUGGGCAGGUUGAAGGUUGGGUAACACUAACUGGAGGACCGAACCGACUAAUGUUGAAAAAUUAGCGGAUGACUUGUGGCUGGGGGUGAAAGGCCAAUCAAACCGGGAGAUAGCUGGUUCUCCCCGAAAGCUAUUUAGGUAGCGCCUCGUGAAUUCAUCUCCGGGGGUAGAGCACUGUUUCGGCAAGGGGGUCAUCCCGACUUACCAACCCGAUGCAAACUGCGAAUACCGGAGAAUGUUAUCACGGGAGACACACGGCGGGUGCUAACGUCCGUCGUGAAGAGGGAAACAACCCAGACCGCCAGCUAAGGUCCCAAAGUCAUGGUUAAGUGGGAAACGAUGUGGGAAGGCCCAGACAGCCAGGAUGUUGGCUUAGAAGCAGCCAUCAUUUAAAGAAAGCGUAAUAGCUCACUGGUCGAGUCGGCCUGCGCGGAAGAUGUAACGGGGCUAAACCAUGCACCGAAGCUGCGGCAGCGACACUAUGUGUUGUUGGGUAGGGGAGCGUUCUGUAAGCCUGUGAAGGUGUGCUGUGAGGCAUGCUGGAGGUAUCAGAAGUGCGAAUGCUGACAUAAGUAACGAUAAAGCGGGUGAAAAGCCCGCUCGCCGGAAGACCAAGGGUUCCUGUCCAACGUUAAUCGGGGCAGGGUGAGUCGACCCCUAAGGCGAGGCCGAAAGGCGUAGUCGAUGGGAAACAGGUUAAUAUUCCUGUACUUGGUGUUACUGCGAAGGGGGGACGGAGAAGGCUAUGUUGGCCGGGCGACGGUUGUCCCGGUUUAAGCGUGUAGGCUGGUUUUCCAGGCAAAUCCGGAAAAUCAAGGCUGAGGCGUGAUGACGAGGCACUACGGUGCUGAAGCAACAAAUGCCCUGCUUCCAGGAAAAGCCUCUAAGCAUCAGGUAACAUCAAAUCGUACCCCAAACCGACACAGGUGGUCAGGUAGAGAAUACCAAGGCGCUUGAGAGAACUCGGGUGAAGGAACUAGGCAAAAUGGUGCCGUAACUUCGGGAGAAGGCACGCUGAUAUGUAGGUGAAGUCCCUCGCGGAUGGAGCUGAAAUCAGUCGAAGAUACCAGCUGGCUGCAACUGUUUAUUAAAAACACAGCACUGUGCAAACACGAAAGUGGACGUAUACGGUGUGACGCCUGCCCGGUGCCGGAAGGUUAAUUGAUGGGGUCAGCGCAAGCGAAGCUCUUGAUCGAAGCCCCGGUAAACGGCGGCCGUAACUAUAACGGUCCUAAGGUAGCGAAAUUCCUUGUCGGGUAAGUUCCGACCUGCACGAAUGGCGUAAUGAUGGCCAGGCUGUCUCCACCCGAGACUCAGUGAAAUUGAACUCGCUGUGAAGAUGCAGUGUACCCGCGGCAAGACGGAAAGACCCCGUGAACCUUUACUAUAGCUUGACACUGAACAUUGAGCCUUGAUGUGUAGGAUAGGUGGGAGGCUUAGAAGUGUGGACGCCAGUCUGCAUGGAGCCGACCUUGAAAUACCACCCUUUAAUGUUUGAUGUUCUAACGUGGACCCGUGAUCCGGGUUGCGGACAGUGUCUGGUGGGUAGUUUGACUGGGGCGGUCUCCUCCUAAAGAGUAACGGAGGAGCACGAAGGUUGGCUAAUCCUGGUCGGACAUCAGGAGGUUAGUGCAAUGGCAUAAGCCAGCUUGACUGCGAGCGUGACGGCGCGAGCAGGUGCGAAAGCAGGUCAUAGUGAUCCGGUGGUUCUGAAUGGAAGGGCCAUCGCUCAACGGAUAAAAGGUACUCCGGGGAUAACAGGCUGAUACCGCCCAAGAGUUCAUAUCGACGGCGGUGUUUGGCACCUCGAUGUCGGCUCAUCACAUCCUGGGGCUGAAGUAGGUCCCAAGGGUAUGGCUGUUCGCCAUUUAAAGUGGUACGCGAGCUGGGUUUAGAACGUCGUGAGACAGUUCGGUCCCUAUCUGCCGUGGGCGCUGGAGAACUGAGGGGGGCUGCUCCUAGUACGAGAGGACCGGAGUGGACGCAUCACUGGUGUUCGGGUUGUCAUGCCAAUGGCACUGCCCGGUAGCUAAAUGCGGAAGAGAUAAGUGCUGAAAGCAUCUAAGCACGAAACUUGCCCCGAGAUGAGUUCUCCCUGACCCUUUAAGGGUCCUGAAGGAACGUUGAAGACGACGACGUUGAUAGGCCGGGUGUGUAAGCGCAGCGAUGCGUUGAGCUAACCGGUACUAAUGAACCGUGAGGCUUAACCUUACAACGCCGAAGGUGUUU